rnacentral:rRNA from 1 species
GACGAACGCUGGCGGCGUGCUUAACACAUGCAAGUCGAACGGAAAGGCCCUGCUUUUGCGGGGUGCUCGAGUGGCGAACGGGUGAGUAACACGUGAGUAACCUCCCCUUGUCUUUGGGAUAACUUCAGGAAACUGGGGCUCAUACCGGGUAGGAGCUCCUGCUGCAUGGUGGUGGUUGGAAAGAUUCGGCGGUUGGGGCUGGACUCGCUGCUUAUCAGCUUGUUGGUGGGGUAGUUGCUUACCAAGGCUUUGACGGGUAGCCGGCCUGAGAGGGUGACCGGGCUCAUGGGGACUGAGAUACGGACCAGAAGCCUACGGGAGGCAGCAGUGGGGAGUAUUGCACAAUAGGCGGAAGCCUGAUGCAGCAACGCCGCGUGCGGGAUGACGGCCUUCGGGUUGUAAACCGAUUUCGCCUGUGACGAGGCGUGAGUGACGGUAAUGGGUAAAGAAGCACCGGCUAACUACGUG